rnacentral:rRNA from 1 species
UUCCGGGGGCAACGAUCAGCUGCUGCACGCCCGGGGCGUGCAGUUCACAGAUCAAACGCGGGUGGCCUGCGCCCGCAGGUUGAGAUAUGACCGUAGCAGCUCCGCCAGGAGCCUGGCAUGCUAGUUCCGUAGGUGAACCUGCGGAAGGAUCAUUA